AAGAAUUGGGGCGUGGGAAAGGGGCGGGGCCUGGAGGAAAGGACUGGAGAGAAUGGUGUGAGUAAAAACAGGUACAGAAUAGUAUAAACCAGUAUAGACCAGUAUGGACCAGCAUGGGCCAGUACAGACCAGUAUGGAUCAGUAUGGACCAGCACAGACCAGUUUAGAUGAGUAGGGUUCUGGGCUGGACACGGGCUGGCUGUGAGGCUGAUGGUGCUGUCUGUGGCUGUGUGUGAGUAAAAACCAGUAGUGACCAGUAUGUACCAGCAUGGACCAGUAUAAACCAGUAUGGACCAGUAUGGACCACUAUAGAUGAGAAUGGACCAAUAUAGGGCACUAUGGACAAUAUGGACCAGUAUGGAUCAGUAUAGAGCACGGGGGACCAGUUCAGACCAGUUCAGAUCAGUACAAGUUUCUACAGACCAGGAGAGACUUCUCCCCGCCCUGACCAGUAUAGACCAUCUCUGACCAGUAUGCACCAGUAUGAACCAGUACAGACCAGUACAGCCCUUCCCCUGCCUGGGGAUGGGGACACUGGGAUGGAACGGGGGACACUGGGGUGGUGACACCGGGACAGCCCUGGUGGCACUGGGCUGGAACUGGUGGCACUGCCCAGUCCCUGGUGCCACCUGUGCGGUGUCCCCGUGUCCCCACAGUGUCCCUGUGCUCGGCCCGCACUGCCGUGGGCGUGGCCAAGGAUGAUCACUGGUGGGGGAGGGGUGGGGGCUGAGCCGUGAUGUCAUAUAGCUCCGCCCCUUUUCACCACGACAUUUCCGGGUUGUUACCGAGUGCUGCUUCCGGCCUGUUUGCCUCCCAGGAGUGUCCCCGGAGUGUCCCCAAGGGGUCCCCGCCGUGUCCCCAGCGGCUAUGGAGCCCUGUGGUGUGCGACAAUUCCAGCGCAAGGUGCUGGGGGCAGAGGUGGACGUGGUGGCCGCCCUGGGUGAGCUGUUGGCCACUGUGACCGUGCCAGAUAGGAGCCUGUGGCCACUCCUGUACCCAGACUCCCUGCACGCAGACCUGAGGAAAUUCAUCUGGACCCUCCGGGACACCCUGGAGCAUUGCGCUGUCCCCUCCCAGGGCCAGCACGGUGUCACCUCUGUGUGCCAGGCCCUGGCUGCCCUCAAGGCCACCCCAGGGGCCUCCUGGCCUGAUGUGAGAGCCACGGUCAGAGCUUGGCUGGAGUCAGUGAAGGCGCUCAGGAAGAGCUGGGAUAGGCUGUACUGGGACACUGUACAUCUCCUCAGCACCCGCUGGGGUGAGGACACUGACGAGGACACUGAUGAGGACACUGAUGAGGACACUGCCAAGGCCACUGCCACUGGCCUGGCCAGGGACCUGCAGGAAGAGACCCCCCUCGGCUGGGGGACAGCUGGGGACAGCCUGGUGGCAGCAGCCCGGAAGCCGCCAGUGGCCCUGUCCUCAGCAGUGGCCACACCCGAUGCCCCCAUGGCAGCAGCCACCAAUGCCAGGGAAGACGCUGAGGUGGCAACCAGGCAGACGGGGGCGGCCUCCGGGCGGGAACUGCAGGUGAAGGAGGCCCAGGAGCUGCUGAAGCGCUUGAAGGUCGCGUGUAUCAAAGUCAUCCUGUUCUCCUGGGACAUAGAAGAGUGCGUCUGGUACGAGGUCCGUAAACAGGGGACAGAGGAGCUGCCCCCCAAUGUUCUCGAGCGGUUUGUGGCCGCAGUGGCCGAGGCUGAGUGGCUGUGGGAGGCCAGCACCCGCCUGACCACACGUCACUUGCUGGGGACACUUGGGGAAAUCGCCUUCCUCCUCUCGAGUCCCUGUGGUGGCUCCAGUGGCCCUGGUGGUUCCUUUAGCCCUGGUGGCCCCGGUGGCCUCUCAGUCGCCAAGCGGUGCCGAGAAGCCACCGAGGACACCCUGAGGCCCUGCAAAGAGCAGCGCACAGCACCACCACAUGGGGACACCAAUCAUGGCAGCUCAAUCCCAGGAACACCUGAACAACCUGAAGGGACCUGGGGAAAACCCGAGCCAGGAGCAGUUUGUGACAUUGUCAGACAGCUUCCAAGGGACCCCGACUUAUUACCCCCAGGGACACGAUGUGAACUGGCAACUUCCAAAUUGAUACGUUUUUUAAAAGACUAUCGCCUUGAAUUUUGCAUUCCCAUAGGAGUUACUGGUAUUUCACACCAAAGACAAGACUUCCUAAUUAUAGGCAAGGACAGUAAUAGAACUCUUGGAUUUUCAGUUCUUCCAGCUGUGGUUUCAGCAAAUUGUAAUGAAGAGCUGAGGGUUUUAGUUCUUCCUUACAAGGCUCCACUGGUAAUUCAACCCAACACACCAAUAGCUAUUGCUAUUGCAUUGCCAAUGAAUACAAAUAAGCAAACUGGAUACCCAGAAAUGCCUUUUAAAAGCUCUAACCCUCAUGGCCGUUGGAUAAAACGUAUCACCAAUGAACGGCCAGAGCUGACCUGCAGUCUGACACACCAUGGUAAAAUAGUUCACAUUACAGGCAAGCUGGACACAGGGUCAGACGUCACUGUGAUUUCUUAUGAGUUUUGGCCGAGCGAUUGGAAUCUGGUACCACCGGAGCGUGGUCUCACAGGGAUUGGAGGAGCUACAGUGUGUAUGCAAAGUGAAUCCAUGAUUACUGUCACAGGUCCUGAAGGGAAGACAGCGACCACCCGUCCCUAUGUGGUGAGGCAGCAGGUUGUACUAUGGGGGAGAGACGUGAUGUCCCAGUGGAGAGCAAAGAUGGAAUUGGAUUCUUGAUGGAAACCACAGGGAUUAUUAGGUUAUCAUUAUUAAGUUUUCAUUAUUAUCGUGGAAAAGCAAUCAGCCCAUUUGGAUAGAUCUGUGGCCUCUUGAACAGAAAAAAUUUAGUGAGUGAACAACUCAAAAAAUUAGUGAACAAACAACUACAAAAAGGCCAUACCAAAUACAGAAAUAGUCCUUGGAAUUCCCCAUGUUUAAUCAUUCACAAGAAGACUUCUCAGAUUCCUGGAGAUUGCUUCAUGACUUGAAGAUCAGCAAAUUGAUAGAAGACAUGAGGCAUUUACAACCUGGACUUCCUUCUCUUUCAGUGAUUCCAAGAGACUGGCCUCAUGUUAUCCACUUAAAAGAUUGUUUUUUCAACAUUCCACUUCAUCCAGAGGAUGCUCCUCAAUUUGCCUUUUUGGUUCCAGCCAUCAGUAGAGGAGAACCAUUGCAAAGGUACCACUGGACGGUUUAGUUGCAAGAGAUGAAAAGGACCUGCAGCUGGCCCUGACCCUGCCAGACCCGAGAACGGCCCCGCGCCCGGUCCCAGUGAACCUGUGAGGGGUCCGUUCCAUCCUGCCAGUGACUUACUUAGGCUUGUAGGGGCCCCACCAACACAAGUGGGCUCCCUGCUUUGAACAGCAGCCCCACAAAUUAAAGGUGUUUGAACACCGCAGGAAUUUAGACAAUUUCCUGCAGCGCUAUUGCGCAUGUGCGGCACAGCUGCCCUCACAGCAAAAUGGCGGCUCCCUGCAAAGACCUUCCAUACAACAAAAUGGCCGCUCCCUGUGUUUUUCCGUACAACAAGAUGGCGGCGCCCCAUAUGGAGCAUGCGCACUGCCGCCAGCGCCAUUUUGUAACCACCGAGACUCACAUCCUCCAACCACGGCGCCAUCUCUGGCCCCCGCACGCACUGCAGGGUCGGGCGGCCCCGGAACACCGGCGGCGGAAGUGCCGCGACUGCGAGCGGCUCCAAGGGAUUGCGGCACCGGGCUGCCACCGGAGGGGUCCCUGUGCCCCCCACAGCAGGAACUGCCUGCUGUGAGGGCAGGCGACCCUGGAGCACGGCCAAAGAGGCUUUCAGCACCCCCACCAUCGGCAUAGUCCUGCCGUGGGGAGCAGCCCUAUCGAGGUUCAGGCUUCUUUUCAGCCUCUGCCAGUGCCGGGAUUGGAGCACGGGAGACACAGUUUUGGUGUUUGGACUCAGGAUUUUAUUAAUUCUUACCUACAUUACAGCCUCACAAGCCGUGAGUUCUGCACACUAACUAGCUAAGCACAAAAUGGACAGUCUCACUCUAUCUCUACCCGCUCUUUUCAAGGACAAAUCAUCCAAUUAAAAAGUGACACUCAAAUGAUUUCUGUUUUUAACCCAAUGACCCUUCACCAGUGGUCCGCAAUGCAGACUUUAUUACCCAAUCAAAGAAACCGCCCAAACCCAUGGAGAAGAAGGUGGAGAAGAAGGGGCAAAAUGACAACUGAUCCAAAUCCUCCAUCUUGCUCUCUCUCAGUAUCACUAUAUACUAAAACCCCAAACUCUGAUUUUUCCACCCCGUGUUACAGCACACCUCCAAUUCAAACUACACCCCUGUGAUGUCAGUGCUAUCACCCAUUUUUGGAAGGCUGUUCCAAGGCCUCAGGUCAAACGCAGUGCUUCCCUGGGGGUCAGUGCCCAUCAGCACAGAGAGUCCAAAAUUCUCAGCAUCCAGAGAUCCUACACACCCUGAAAUCAGAAUGAGACAAUCACAACCCCCUGAUGUCACAACACCUAAAAAUCCCCUAGGCCCCGCUUCUGCCCCCUCAGUCUCACAUCCCUCAGGUGCUGCAAAGAGAGGGGGGAGCGGGGGGCACUGGGAUGAUGAGGGGCUCCUCGCCAUGCCACCAUCUACAGCAAUAAAGCCAGGAACAUCAGAGCCACAUCUCACAUUUGUAGAUCACCCAACAGAUGUGACAGAGAAACAAUGCAAGGAUGACCUGGCAUGUCUUUAGCUGCUUCCAAAUUUUGCCUUUGUCAAUGCUAAUGAGGAAUGCAAACGAAUAAUUAGAGCCUUGCCUGACCCACAGCCUGCCUUACUUCAAAUGAUCCAAGUUUGUAAAGAAGAGAUCUGACAGUAUAUUACAAAACCCAUUGGUGCUUUUAAAUUAUGUUAAGUUUAGGCCCCUGUUAAGCUUCAAUUACUUUUGAGUUUUAAGUGUAAGUUUUGUAAGAUUUAAGUGAUAUUAGGUUUAUAUUCUAUUACAAAGAUAAUACAAUUUGAGAUUCUUUUUGCCAAAAUUUAUCCAUAUCAAGUUUAAGUUUUAUUCAAUUUAAAAAUUAUCCUAGGUUUUGUGAAAAUAUGCUUACCUAAUUAGCAAAGUUUAGUUAUUUUCUCUUAGAAUAAGACUGAAACAGCUGAAACACUGACGAACACCUGUUUGUGGACGGAAGAAGAUACAGUUUUUUGGACCCUUGAUUUCCUGAAAGGUUUUAUUAUUUAUUACAAUCUCUGCUGUUUUAUCUUCCGUACAUAAUACAGAAGAGUCAUGACAAUUCUACAUCGAGGCUGUUAUUGGUUGUGAGCUGUUUUAUUGUUUUUCUGUGUUUUAUCUCAAGGUCAAAAGUACAUGACUCUUUAAAAAGGUGUUAACUUCCUACGAUGAUUGGUGCUGAUAUAUUGAUUACUUGAUGUGAAUUUGUUAAUUUUCUAUAUUUAUAACUGACUUCUCAUAUCCUUUAACAUUUCUUUUCCUAUUAUCCAAAAGAUGCAUGUCAUUUCAAGAUCCUUCCUUUUUAUUUUCUAACUGCUUAAGCAUUUCAUAACUGCUGCUGUUAAGAUCUUUGUUUUAGAAAUGUAUUUAGGGACCUCACUCCAGUUUAGAGCCUGAGCCCUGGCCAGGCCCUGACUCUACCUGGAUGGAUGUUUUGCCAACAAGCCCAGAUGUUUUCUGCAUCAAAACUAGAUUCAAGUCAUUUGACUUGGCAAUUUGACCCUAUAAAAUGACAGCCAGACCGAUCUUUGGAGUGGACCUGAGCAUCUUACCUGGGAAAGGAUGUUCGAGUCCCCACUGGAAAGAGGUGCAGGACCCAGGUGGAUUCCAGCCAAGAACAUGAAGCCACAUCAAGCACAGAAACACGCUGACAACUCCAAGAGCAGGGGAGCAAGCAUGCAAGAUGUGAACUGCACAGAGACUGUAGCUAAUGGCAGAAAUCUUUUGUCCCACGUGCAAGAACUGUGAACCUUGGGUUUUGUGUCAAUGUAAAAAGUGUGGGAAUUGUUGGUAUUGUGGAGCUCUACUGGCACAGGUGUGGUGUGCAUCGUGUCAUGAUUUAGAAUCCCAAACAAAGCACAAAGCCUUUGAAUUUUUAGUUGCAGUGGGUCAUGAAGAAGAAAAUAGCCCCCAUGUUCCUAUUCUUAGGGAGGAAUGUAGAAGAGAAUUUUUGAUAGAAUCAAAAGAGAUUCAAAUUUGCAGAGUUGAAUACAAACCAAAUAAUUUAGUGGCCGGUCCGGGAACAAAUUUGUGAAAAAACAAAAAAAGGGAUGUGCUAAAAGAUUUGCUUGGAAAUGAAAAAUUAAAAAGGAAGUGCCUUAAAUCAAAAAGCAUGAAGGUAAAUCAGGUAUCAUAUCUAGAUCUAUUUUGUUUGCCUUCAGCAAUGCAACCUUACCUGUCGAUCAACCAAAGACCAAUGUUUGGGGAUCAGUAGUGUUGUAGAAUUCCUUUGUUAGAGAAUAGUUGAAGGGAAACAUGGGGCUCUGUUGAAUGUUAUGCUUGUGCUUUUUUGCUUUGCUUGCUUUUAGUAAUUUGCUUGCUUUUAGCAGUGCAAAUUUGCCAAUUAGUCAACCUAAAACAAAUGUCUGGGUGGCUUUAGCCAAUGCAUCAGAUUUAAAUAUCCUCUGUAUUUCCUAUACAACCGCAAAAAGCCAUUUUCCACCUGUUUAGCAGGUGUGCCAGUGGAUACUUGGCCAAUUCCAGAGAAAACUGACAGAGCCAUUCAAGGUACACUCACAGGAUCAUCCACAUGGGAUCUUUGGUCCCUAGUAGAGGCAUGGGACUGGUGCAUUCCUCACCUUCCCAAGGCAUCUCAUGAACCAGAAGAAUUGGACAUCUUUGGUUCUGUAAACAUGUUUCUUUUCGUGCCAAACUUAACUGUAUGGGGAAAGAUCAAUUUUUGGUCAAAGAUGUUUCUCCUUACCACUCCACAUAUAUGAGAUUAAUUGGUGUAAUCAUGCUUCUUUAAUUCAAAACGCAUUUAAUGAUUUGUCUGACUGGCACAUGGGUAUGGGUGUGAAGAUUUUGAAGGGAUUUGUUGUACGAAUUUAUCCGAUCACUCAGGAUCUAUUCAUAAAAAUGUACAAAACCUUAAGGAAAGUGUACAAAAAAUUAAAAUUAAUGAUGAGACUUGACAACCCAUUUAAUAGAUACAAUCUUACAUUGUAGGUGAAAGAGCUUUUAAAAAUGAGUAUAUAUAUUUAUAUGAGUCAUCAUAAUUAGUUGUGCUAAUAGUGUCUUAUUUGCUCCAGUGCAUUCAACAAAUAAUUAAUAAAGCAAUUAAAAGAG